rnacentral:pre_miRNA from 14 species
GGUCUAGUGCUGUAUGGAAGACUAGUGAUUUUGUUGUUCUAAUAUACUAUGACAACAAGUCACAGCCGGCCUCACAGCAUGGACU